UCACCACUCUGGCCUUAUGGCUUAGAUCGAGUGUAGUAUCUGUUUUUAAUAGUUUAACCACUAUCACGAGGGCACGCCCUCAUUCUUGGUUAUCUAAUUUUUGCCGCCCUUGUUCUCUUGAGCUCUGCUUGCAACUCGAGGGGCGCGAUGACCUUGCUACUGCACUAUCGGCUCGUUUCGUCGGGGGAUC
rnacentral:snRNA from 1 species